rnacentral:rRNA from 1 species
UACGUAGGGGGCUAGCGUUGUCCGGAAUCAUUGGGCGUAAAGAGCGUGUAGGCGGCCCGGUAAGUCCGCUGUGAAAGUCUAGGGCUCAACCCUGGAAUGCCGGUGGAAACUGUCGGGCUAGAGUCCGGAAGAGGCGAGUGGAAUUCCUGGUGUAGCGGUGAAAUGCGUAGAUAUCUGGAGGAACACCGGUGGCGAAGGCGGCAUUCUGGACUGCAACUGACACUGAAGAACGAAAGCCAGGGGAGCAAACGGG